rnacentral:lncRNA from 1 species
GGAUGACAUCUUUCGUUAUUUUAGUAUUAAUUAUACCAAUCUCCUUUAUUGUUCUUAUGUCUAGUACUUGAGACAUCAUCAAGUAUACAAUAUCAGGUGAUGAGUGACGGAGGAAAAUGUUCUGAUGACUGUCCGUUAAUUGACUGAUCACUUCCUGACAUUGACCUGCAUGCUGAUGGUUUAGUGAGGGUUACACUAUAACUGGUCCACUCCACCUUUCCAGUCUCUUCUCCUAAUAAUAAACACAGUGAUGCUGGUUUUUAUACCAGUAAGUCAUUACAGCUGCUAUGGAAUGGGCGUGGCCUAUUUUUUAUCAUGUGACAGGAAACAAAAAUCAAUUGUGAAGGUCACUGUAGUACUUAUAAACUGAUUCAACCACAUGCAGUUAAA